UGGGGAAUAUUGGACAAUGGGCGCAAGCCUGAUCCAGCCAUGCCGCGUGUGUGAAGAAGGCCUUUUGGUUGUAAAGCACUUUAAGCGAGGAGGAGGCUACUUGGAUUAAUACUCUAAGAUAGUGGACGUUACUCGCAGAAUAAGCACCGGCUAACUCUGUGCCAGCAGCCGCGGUAAUACAGAGGGUGCGAGCGUUAAUCGGAUUUACUGGGCGUAAAGCGUGCGUAGGCGGCUUCUUAAGUCGGAUGUGAAAUCCCUGAGCUUAACUUAGGAAUUGCAUUCGAUACUGGGAAGCUAGAGGAUGGGAGAGGAUGGUAGAAUUCCAGGUGUAGCGGUGAAAUGCGUAGAGAGCUGGAGGAAUACCGAUGGCGAAGGCAGCCAUCUGGCCUAAUACUGACGCUGAGGUACGAAAGCAUGGGGAGCAAACAGG
rnacentral:rRNA from 1 species